rnacentral:rRNA from 1 species
AGGACGAACGCUGGCGGCGUGCUUAACACAUGCAAGUCGAACGAGGUGCUUGCACCUAGUGGCGAACGGGUGAGUAACACGUGAGCAACCUGCCCUUGGCUCUGGGAUAGCCUCCGGAAACGGGGAUUAAUACCGGACAUGACCUUGGAUCGCAUGAUCUCGGGUGGAAAGUUUUUCGGCCAGGGAGGGGCUCGCGGCCUAUCAGCUUGUUGGAGGGGUAACGGCCCACCAAGGCGACGACGGGUAGCCGGCCUGAGAGGGCGACCGGCCACACUGGGACUGAGACACGGCCCAGACUCCUACGGGAGGCAGCAGUGGGGAAUAUUGCACAAUGGGGGAAACCCUGAUGCAGCGACGCCGCGUGCGGGAUGAAGGCCUUCGGGUUGUAAACCGCUUUCACCAGGGACGAAGCGGAAGUGACGGUACCUGGGGAAGAAGCGCCGGCUAACUACGCGCCAGCAGCCGC